rnacentral:rRNA from 1 species
CGCAUCUGUGCAUGCAGCAUAUCAAUAAGCGGAGGAAAAGCGCAUUAAAGAUCCAGAUACCUACGCUUAGGAUGUUGACACACGCGCGUGCUCGACUCUAUACAUGACUCUGUGCAUAUCAAUAAGCGGAGGAAAAGAAACUAACAAGGAUUCCCUUAGUAACGGCGAGUGAAGCGGGAAGAGCUCAAAUUUGAAAUCUUCAAGGGUUUUACCUUUACGAAUUGUAGUUUAAAGAAGUGUUUUCUGUUGAGGUUUUGGUAAAAGCUCUUUGGAAUAGGACAUCAUAGAGGGUGAGAAUCCCGUAUUUGACCAUUAUUUUCAGCUGUGUGAUACACUUUCAAAGAGUCGGAUUGUUUGGGAAUGCAGUCCAAAAUGGGUGGUAAAUUUCAUCUAAAGCUAAAUAUUGGCGAGAGACCGAUAGCGAACAAGUACCGUGAGGGAAAGAUGAAAAGAACUUUGAAAAGAGAGUUAAACAGUACGUGAAAUUGUCAAAAGGGAAGCGUUUGACACCAGUGUUGUUUUCUCGAAAAUCAAUUAAAAAGAGUUAGAUUUUGUUGUGUAUUGACCUUAACAGCUUGCAUUUCAAUUCUCUUGCUUUUUUUAAUGCACUUUUCGUUUAACAAGUCAACAUCAGUUUCUUUUGUUGUAAAAAGGUCAUUGGAAGGUGGCUUUCUUUUCGGAGAAAGUGUUUAUAGCCUUUGACUCCUGCAAUCGGAGAGACUGAGGUCCGCAGCGUAGAUCCUUCGGGGUUAGAUACAUUUGUGCUAAGUUAUAGCUUUUUAUAGACAACUUGUUGACUAUGAUUAGUCUUGUAGCUUACUCGCUUAUGCUAUUUUACCUACGCUUAGGAUGUUGAUGUGAUACUGCGAGCA